rnacentral:pre_miRNA from 1 species
GGGGGGAGGCCGGAUCCUUGGCCUGGGCUGUGUCCCUGGCGCCCUGUGCUCCUGGGCCUGCGCUGUUGAAAUCCCUCUCCCGGCUGCAGCCCCCU